rnacentral:rRNA from 1 species
GACGAACGCUGGCGGCGUGCUUAACACAUGCAAGUCGAACGGAAAGGCCCUGCUUUUGUUGGGUGCUCGAGUGGCGAACGGGUGAGUAACACGUGAGUAACCUGCCCUUGACUUUGGGAUAACUUCAGGAAACUGGGGCUAAUACCGGAUAUGAGCUCCUGCUGCAUGUUGGGGGUUGGAAAGUUUCGGCGGUUGGGGAUGGACUCGCGGCUUAUCAGCUUGUUGGUGGGGUAGGGGCUUACCAAGGCUUUGACGGGUAGCCGGCCUGAGAGGGUGACCGGCCACAUUGGGACUGAGAUACGGCCCAGAAUCCUACGGGAGGCAGCAGUGGGGAAUAUUGCACAAUGGGCGGAAGCCUGAUGCAGCAACGCCGCGUGCGGGAUGACGGCCUUCGGGUUGUAAACAGCUUUCGACUGUGACGAAGCGUGAGUGACGGUAAUGGGUAAAGAAGCAACGGCUAACUACGUG